rnacentral:rRNA from 1 species
AGAAUCAACGCUGGCGGCGUGCCUAACACAUGCAAGUCGAACGAGAAAGUGGAGCAAUCCAUGAGUACAGUGGCGCACGGGUGAGUAACACGUGACUAACCUACCCUUGAGUGGGGAAUAACCUGGAGAAAUCUAGGCUAAUACCGCAUAACACCUACGGGUCAAAGGAGCAAUUCGCUUAAGGAGGGGGUCGCGGCAGAUUAGCUAGUUGGCGGGGUAAUGGCCCACCAAGGCAGUGAUCUGUAUCCGGCCUGAGAGGGCGCACGGACACACUGGAACUGAAACACGGUCCAGACUCCUACGGGAGGCAGCAGUGGGGAAUUUUGCGCAAUGGGGGAAACCCUGACGCAGCAACGCCGCGUGGAGGAUGAAGUCCCUUGGGACGUAAACUCCUUUCGACCGGGAAGAUAAUGACGGUACCGAAGAAGAAGCCCGGCUAACUCGUGCCAGCAGCCGC